AUACAACUGUAGUUUUUCCAGGGCAAGACUCCUCCAUUGUUGUCUGGAUGUGCUGACCCCUGCCAUUUCCCUAAAUGUGGAAAUGUUGACUGCAUAAUUUGGUAGUGGGGGACUACACUUACGUUUUCUCCUG
rnacentral:snRNA from 1 species